rnacentral:lncRNA from 1 species
GUUAACUUCCCAAAAGCUGGCGGAAUCUGUCCACUCAAAUGAUUCAUCGACAAGUUUAAUGUUUCCAGUCUGAAGAGGUUCGCGAAUUCUGAUGGGAUUUCUCCAGAUAAAUUGUUGCCUGAGAGGUCCAUACUGUUGACAAGGUUCUGCUGCACGGACAAGUACCGAAAUAUUCCUCCUUUUGUAAUAAGCCGCAAUCCCUCUCCAUAUUCAGCCAUUCGAAAUGUAAACACUUUCUGAAAGCCACUCAGAUUUCCAACACAAUGGGGAAUAAACCCGGACAGAUUAUUUUUCGAGAUGUCCAAUAUGUGGAGUAUAGAGAGUCUACAGAUUUCGGAAGGAAUAUUUCCCGUAAAAGAAUUGUUCCGUAAGCAUAUAAUUAACAACGAUGGCAUGUUUUCUCCAAUCCAAACUGGUAUUUUUCCAGAGAAUUGAUUGUCGCCUAUAUCAAGUCUACGUAGUUGGGUACAAUUUCCUAAACUGGAAGGCACUUCUCCUGAAAGAUUGUUAUUAGAGAGGCUUAAAAAUUUGAGAAAAUUUAAGGACCCUAUGGAGUCUGGUAUCGUGCCAGAAAGACUGUUAUUUGACAUAUCAAGUAUGUAAAGAGCGGGAGUUUUUUCCCAAAUUUGAGGAAUACUUCCAGAUAAAUGAUUGUUUGAAAUGACUAGGGUUGUCAAUCCUAUCAGAUUUCCUAUAGACAAUGGAAUUGUUCCAUUUAGGUUGUUUCUUGUGAUGUCUAAUUCAAUCAGAGAAGGCAUUGCUAUCCCAAUGUUUGAAGAAAUUGGCCCUGAAAAUAGGUUGUCCCGCAGAUACAAGCUCGUUACAUUAGUAGACCAAAGUGGGAGGGGUCCUUCAAAGAAGUUUGAACUCAAAUCAACGCUCGAUCCAAGGGAGAAACGGAGUGAGUUUGGUAUCUUACCACUUAACUGAUUGUGCGCGACAUCCAGUUCUUCAAGUUCCAAACCCAUAUUCAAGAACCAAUCCGGUAUAACAUCUGUAAUCCUAGCAUAAUUGAGUAUGAUGGUCUUAAGCUUGGUUUGAUUCCUGAACCAUCUUGGGAAGUUGGGGCCGAGUUGGCAUGCCUGAAUUUUGAUAUAAACGAGUUUAAACGAAGGCAUCCAGUCAGAACUGAUGUUGAAUACCACGGAAACAUUUGGCCGCAACUGACCAAUUGAUAGUAUACGCAAGCUGGAGAGAUUUUUAAGAUGGGCUUCUGUUAUGACACCUUCCCACAUGUUUUCAGACAUGUUGACUGCAUACAAGGAAACAAGUUCUCCAAAACUCACUGGGAUUUUUCCACUCAUUUGGUUGCAUGAGAGGUAUAGUUCCCUCAACGAUGACAACUUCCCUAUUGUUUCUGGAAUUGAACCUUGGAAAGAGUUGUGCCAGAGACGAAGAUAUAGCAGAUUCUUGAGGCAGCCAAGUGAAUUGGGAAGGUUUCCAGUCAGUUCAUUGAAUCCCAAAUCCAGUGUCUCCAGCCUGUUGUUCGAACAUUUAGACAAGCCAUCCAUGAACUCCAUUAUGUCACCAUCAACUCUGUUGUUAGCGAGUACGAGUUUCUGCAAGUUACAGAGUUUUCCUAGCUUUCUUGGUAACUUUCCUUCAAUAUUAAAAUUAUGAGACAGGUCGAGUUCCUCGAGGGAAGUCAAAUUUGCUAAGACAUCUGGUAAAACACCAUAAAGAUUGUUUGAUUUGAGAUCAAGGUGUUUCAGGCUAUUUAAAUUGAAUAGCCACUCAGGAAUUGUGGAGUUAAAAUCAUUGUACGAAAGAUCAAGUACUGAAAGAGAAGUAAAAUUAACAGACGAAAAUGAAGUUGGAAGAUUCACAAGCUGACACUGGAAUAAAUGCAAUUCUGAAAUAACGGGAAGGGAAUUGAGAUUUUGAAGCCAAUAAGACGCUGCUCGACUAAGGUCUAUACCCCCCAAAUUUAGGUAUUUCAAUGAAGAAAGACCUGAUAUCCACUUAAGACCAUUUUCUACCGUCUCGUUAUAGUAAUAACUGAGAUCAAGAUACUCCAACUCAGAAAGUUUUCCGAGGUUAGGAGGAAUUUGACCUCCAAAUGAUGCACUAGAAAGAUUCAGGUAUCUCAACUUGGACAUUGACCCAAGAAAGUCUGGAAUUCGAGCCCCACCAAAAUUAUUCAUACUGAGGUCCAAAUGAUUCAAGUAUUUCAAAUCAAGCAAAGAAGGACUAACCUCACCACCCAACUCAUAGAUGAAUCCAUCGCCAUUAAAACUAUUUGGAUAUGGAUUUUGGAGUUUGAUCUCUAUUACAUAUCCAAUUCUGUUAUCACAGCUCACACCAUUCCAUCUACAGCAAUCGUCUCCGUGCCAAGAAGCGAGUCUCCCUGAAGGAUCUGUAAGGGCUUCUUUGAACGUGAUGAGCACUUUCUUCUCAUUCUCCCUACAUAUUGAGUGAAGAUUUUGUUUGCAGUAUGCGAUUUUAAAAAUCUUGAAAUCCAAAAGCUGGAAAAGGAACACAAGAAUAAUAAGUUGAAACGAGCCUCUACCCAUGCUCAAGAAAAUAUAAUGCUAAAAGCAGCUAGCUAUAUAUGUAGUGACAACUUAUAUCAAUCCUAGUUUUCUUGCAAAUUUUUAUUUUGUAAACUGUCAGUAACAUUUGAUAUUUAUAGUAUCAAUUCAUGGAAUUGUGGCGUGAAUGCAGGGGAUUAAAUUUGGAAGAAGACCUCAAUGACCAAGACUUGUUUCAGUGUCGUCAAGUCAACAACUGAUCGGGUAAUUUUUUUUUUUUUCCAGAUUCAUGGAAUUGUGGCGUGAAUGCAGGGGCUUAAAUUUGGAAGAAGAACUCAAUGACCAAGACUUGCUUCAGUGUCGUCAAGUCAACAACUGAUCGGGUAAUUUUUAUUUUUUUUUCCAAAUUUUAAAUUGUCCAAUUGUAUAUUAUCAUGUGGCAAAGUGGCAAAGAUGAUGUACACUAAGCAUGAUUCAUUUUAAUACCUUGUACCUCCUCAAAUUUCCUGGUAGGAGAAAAUUGUCAUAGUUUAUUACAUAAAUAAUAAAUGAAAAUGACAUUUUAAAUGGUUUGAAUUUGGACAGUAAUUUGUUGACACCAAGUCAAUUUGUUUUUUAGUGUUUCAAUAUAAUUUUUGAUUUAAAAAAAAAAUGAGAGUAAAUUUUAUCAAAGCCCUAUUCGUGUAGAUGAAUUCCAAUAAGAUUUGAGCUCGAGAUAUUUAUCUACUCUAAUUUCAUUGAAGCACAAUGAAAUUAAAAUUCUUAAAAAUCUUAACCUCUAUAUGUUUUAUAUUAUCAUGCAAUAUAAUCUGAAAACUUAAACUAAUUAAAAAGAAAUAAACAUUGUUUAUUUAUUUAAUUUAACCCUCUAUCAAAUCUAAUAAUACUAAUUUUGCUAAGUCAUGCAAUUCCCAAUGGCAUAAUAAGGCAUUAGCUCGUUUUGGGAAAUAUUAUAAUUUUUCUUAAGAUUUAAGCGCUUCUUUGAAGGUGAUAAGCGCUUUCUUCUCAUUUUUCCAACAAAGAGUGAAGACUUUCUAGUACACGAGAUUAGUUAUUUCAAAAUGAAAAAACUCAAAUAGGAACACAAGAACAAUAAGUUGGAACGAACCUCUGCCCAUACUUGUUUAAUGAGCAAGAUUUAUUCAUCUAAUUAAUAUUACUCAAUUCUCAUAAGCUGUUUUGAGAUUUUUUUUUUCUUUUGCUUUCAUUUUAAUUCAUAUUGUGAAAUCAAUUUUAAUAUAUGUUACAAUUCGUUCACUUUCCAUUAUAGUAUUCUAAUACCUUGGACCACAUCAAAAUUCUAGCUAGGAGACAAUUGUCGUAGUAGUUUAUUACAUAAAUACUUAAAGAAAACGAGAAUUUCAACGUUACUGACUCCUAGUCAACUUGUUUUUAGUGUAUGGGCAUAAAUCCAUUCAUGCAUAUUGUGAUGCAAAUUUAAAUAAUUAUUUAAUCUUGCACUCGCAUCUUAUGACACGAAAAUUUUCAUCACAACCCUAGGAUAAAAAAUUUCCGUAGUUCAAUAAUGAUAUAAUUGAAUCACAAUAAAAGUAGAUAUUUGAACCUUUAUUUUCUAUUAGAUUAGUCAUGAUAUUCCAGCCUGCAUAAUAAGGAAUACAGAAGAGUUAAUGUCCCAAUGGUCACUGAACUUAAGUCUCUGUCUUUCACUACUCUUUGAAGUUUAAAAUAUCCUGUUUUGACCACUAAACAUAUCAAAAUAUUGGACAUUAUUCACUACCUUAAUAUCCUUUCCCAUUCUUUAAAUGAAGUAGUGAUACAUUCAUCUAAUUCGUUCCAAUUAUGGGAACGAUCCUCUACCCAUACUUGUUCAAUGAGCAAGAUUUAUUCAUCUAAUUAAUAUUACUCAAUUCUAUAUAUAUAUAUAUUUUUUCAUUUAUAGUAUUCCAAUACCUAGGACCACUUCAAAAUUCUAGCUAGGAGACAAUUGUCGUAAUAGCCUAUUACAUAAAUACUUAAAGAAAACGAAAAUUUUGACGUUAUUGACUCCUAGUCAACUUGUUUUUAGUGUAUGGGCAUAAAUCCAUCAAUGCAUAUUGUGAUGCAAAUUUAAUUAAUUAUUUAAUCUUGCACUCUCAUCUUAUGACACGGAAAUUGUCAUCACAACCCCAUGAUAACAAAUUUCCGUAGUUCAAUAACGAUAUAAUUGAAUCACCAUAAAAGUAGAUAUUUGAACCUAUAUUUUCUAUUCGAUUAGUCAUGAUAUUCUAGCAUGCAUAAUAUGGAAUACAGAAGAGUUAAUUGUCCCAAUGGUCACUGAACUUAAGUCUCUGUCUUCGAUUACUCAUUGAAAUUUAAAAUGUCCUGUUUUCACCACUAAACUUAUCAAAAUAUUGGACAUUACUCACUACCUUAACAUCCUUUCCAAUUCUUUAACAAAAGUAGUCAUUUAUCAUCUAAUUCGUUCCAAUUCUGGGAACGAGCCUCCACCCAUACUUGUUCAAUGAGCAAGAUUUAUUCAUCUAAUUAAUAUUACUCAAUUCUCAUAAGCUGUUUUGAAAUUUUUUUUCUUUUGUGUUCAUUUUAAUUCAUAUUGUGAAAUCGAUUUUAAUACAUAUUACUAUUAGUUCACUUUCCAUUAUAGUAUUCUAAUACCUUGGACCACUUCAAGAUUCUAGCUAGGAGACAAUUGUGAUAAUAGUCUAUUACAUAAAUACUUAAAGAAAAUGAGAAUUUCGACUAUUGACUCCUAGUCAACUUGUGUUUAGUGUAUGGGCAUAAAUCCAUCAAUGCAUAUUGUGAUGCAAAUUUAAUUAAUUAUUUAAUAUUGCACUCUCAUCUUAUGACACGAAAAUUUUCAUCACAACCCCAUGAUAAACAAAUUCCGUAGUUCAAUAACGAUAUAAUUGUAUCAACAUAAAGGCAGAAAUUUGAACCUUUAUUUUCUAUUCGAUUAGUCAUGAUAUUCUAGCCUGCAUAAUACGGAAUACAGUAGAGUUAAUUGUCCCAAUGGUCAAAGAAACUUAUUUAUCUGUCUUCGAUUACUCAUUAAAAUUUAAAAUGUCCAAUUUUGACCACUAAAUUUUUCAAAACAUUGGACAUCACAUGCUACUUUAAAAUCCGUUCGAAUUCUUUAACAGAAUUAGUGAUUUAUUCAUCUAAAUCAUUUCAAUUCUCGGAAUGAACCUCUGCCCAUACCUGUUCAAUGAGCAAUAUUUAUUCAUCUAAUUAAUAUUACUCAAUUCUCAUAAGCUGUUUUGAGGUUUUUUAUUUUGCUUUCACUUUAAUUCAUAUUGUGAAAUCGAUUUUAACAAAUAUUACUAUUAGUUCACUUUCCAUAAUAGUAUCCUAAUACCUUGGACCACCUCAAAAUUCUAGCUCGGAGAAAAUUGUCGUAAUAGCAAAUUACACAAAUACUUAAAGGAAACGAGAAUUUCGACGUUAUUGACUUCUAGUCAACUUGUCCUUAGUGUAUGGGCAUAAAUCCAUCAAUGCAUAUUGUGAUGCAAAUUUAAUUAAUUAUUUAAUCUUGCACUCUCAUCUUAUGACACGGAAAUUUUCAUCACAACCCCAUGAUAAAAAAAUUUCCGUAGUUCAAUAACGAUAUAAUUGAAUCACCAUAAAAGUAGAAAUUUGAACCUUUAUUUUCUAUUCGAUUAGUCAUGAUAUUCCAGCCGGCAUAACAAAUAACACAUAAGAAUUAAUUGUCCCAAUGGUCAAUGAACUUAAGUCUCUGUUUUUGAUUGCUCGUUGAAAUUUAAAAUGACAUGUUUUGGCCAAUAAACUUGUCAAAAUAUUGGACAUUGCUUAUUACCUUAACAUCCUUUCCAAUUCUUCAACGGAAUUAGUGAUUUAUUCAUCUAAUUCGUUUCAAUUCUUUGAACGAACCUUAACCCAUACUUGUUCAAUGAGCAAGAUUUAUUCAUCUAAUUAAUAUUACUCAAUUCUCAUAAGUUGUUUUUAGGUUUUUUUUUCUUUUGCUUUCAUUUUAAUUCAUGUUGUGAAAUCCAUUUUAAUAUGGAUUACUAUUGGUUCACUUUCCAUUAUAGUAUUCUAAGACCUUGGACCUCUUCAAAAUUCUAGCUAGGAGACAACUGUGUUAAUAGCGUAUUACAUAAAUACUUAAAGAAAACGAGAAUUUCUACGUUAUUGACUCCUAGUCAACUUGUUUUAGUGUAUGGACAUAAAUCCAACGAUGCAUAUUGUGAUGCAAAUUUAAUUAAUUUUUAAAUCUUGCACUCUUAUCUUAUGACACGAAAAUUUUCAUUAAAGCCCCAUGACACAAAAUUUCUGUAGUUCAAUAAUGAUAUAAUUGUACCAACAUAAAAGAAGAAAUUUGAAUCUUUAUUUUCUAUUUGAUUAGUCAUGAUAUUCUAGCCGGCAUAAUAGGGAAUACAGAAGAGUUAAUUAUCCCAAUGGUCACUGAACUUAUUUAUCCGUCUUCGAUAACUCAUUGAAGUUUAAAAUGUCCAAUUUUAACCACUAAAAUUUUCAAAACAUUGGACAUUACAUACUACUUUAAAAUUCGUUCGAAUUCUUUAACGGAAUUAGUGAUUUAUUCAUCUAAAUCGUUUCAAUUCUCGAAAUGAAACUCUGCCCAUACCUGUUCAAUGAGCAAAAUUUAUUCAUCUAAUUAAUAUUAUUCAAUUCUCAUAAGCUGUUUUGAGGUUUUUUCUCUUUUGCUUUCAUUUUAAUUCAUGUUGUGAAAUCCAUUUUAAUAUGGAUUACUAUUGGUUCACUUUCCAUUAUAAUAUUCUAAGACCUUGGACCUCUUCAAAAUUCUAGCUAGGAGACAAUUGUCUUAAUAGCUUAUUACAUAAAUACUUAAAGAAAACGAGAAUCUCUACGUUAUUGACUCCUUGUCAACUUGUUUUAGUGUAUGGACAUAAAUCCAACAAUGCAUAUUGUGAUGCAAAUUUAAUUAAUUUUUAAGUCUUGCACUCUUAUCUUAUGAGACGAAAAUUUUCAUCAAAGCCCCAUGACCCAAAAUUUCUGUAGUUCAAUAACGAUAUAAUUGUAUUAACACAAAAGAAGAAAUUUGAAUCUUUAUUUUCUAUUUGAUUAGUCAUGAUAUUCUAGCCGGCAUAAUAAGUAAUACAUAAGAGUUAAUUGUCCCAAUGGUCACUGAACUUAUUUAUCUGUCUUGGAUAACUCAUUGAAGUUUAAAAUGUCCAAUUUUGAACACUAAAUUUUUCAAAACAUUGGACAUUACAUACUACUUUAAAAUCCGUUCGAAUUCUUUGAUGGAAUUAGUAAUUUAUUCAUCUAAAUCGUUUCAAUUCUCGGAACGAACCUCUGCCCAUACGUGUUCAAUGAGCAAGAUUUAUUCAUCUAGCUAAUAUUACUCAAUUCUCAUAAGUUGUUUUGAGUUUUUUUAUUUUGCUUUCAUUUUAAUUCAUAUUGUGAAAUCGAUUUUAAUAUAUAUUACUAUUAGUUCACUUUCCAUUAUUGUAUUCCAAUACCUUGGACCACUUUAAAAUUCUAGCUAGGACGUAAUAGCCUAUUACACAAAUACUUAAAGAAAACGAGAAUUUCGACGUUAUUGACUCCUAGUCAACUUGUUUUUAGUAUAUGGGUAUAAAUCCAUAAAUGCAUAUUGUGAUUCAAAUUUAAUUAAUUAUUUAAUCUUGCACUCUCAUCUUAUGACACGAAAAUUUUCAUCACAACCCCAUGAUAAAAAAUUUCCGUAGUUCAAUAACAAUAUAAUUGAAUCACCAUAAAAGUAGAAAUUUAAACCUUUAUUUUAUAUUCGAUUAGUCAUGAUAUUCCAGCUGGCAUAAUAAAGAAUACAGAAGAAUUAAUUAUCCCAAUGGUCAAUGAACUUAAGUCUCUGUCUUUGAUUAAUCGUUGAAGUUUAAAAUGUCCUGUUUUGGCCACUAAACUUAUCAAAAUAUUGGACAUUGCUCACUAUCUUAACAUCCUUUCCAAUUCUUCAAUGAAAUUAGUGAUUUAUUCAUCUAAUUCGUUCCAAUUCUUUGAACGAACCUUAACUCAUACUUUUUCAAUGAGCAAGAUUUAUUCAUCUAAUUAAUAUUACUCAAUUCUCAUAAGCUGUUUUGAGGUUUUUUUUCUCUUUUGCUUUCAUUUUAAUUCAUGUUGUGAAAUCCAUUUUAAUAUGGAUUACUAUUGGUUCACUUUCCAUUAUAGUAUUCUAAGACCUUGGACCUCUUCAAAAUUCUAGCUAGGAGACAAUUGUGUUAAUAGCUUAUUACAUAAAUACUUAAAGAAAACGAGAAUUUCUACGUUAUUGACUCCUUGUCAACUUGUUUUAGUGUAUGGACAGAAAUCCAACAAUGCAUAUUGUGAUGCAAAUUUAAUUAAUUUUUAAAUCUUGCACUCUUAUCUUAUGACACGAAAAUUUUCAUUAAAGCCCCAUGACCCAAAAUUUUUGUAUUUCAAUAACGAUAUAAUUAUACCAACAUAAAAGAAGAAAUUUGAAUCUUUAUUUUCUAUUUGAUUAGUCAUGAUAUUCUAGCCAGCAUAAUAAGGAAAACAGAAGAGUUAAUUGUCCCAAUGGUCACUGAACUUAUUUAUUUGUCUUCGAUAACUCAUUGAAAUUUAAAAUGUCCAAUUUUGAUCACUAAAUUUUUCAAAACAUUGGACAUUACAUACUACUUUAAAAUCCGUUCGAAUUCUUCAACGAAAUUUGUGAUUUAUUCACCUAAAUCAUUUCAAUUCUCGGAACGAACCUUUGCCCAUACUUGUUCAAUGAGCAAGAUUUAUUCAUCAAGCUAAUAAUACUCAAUUCUCAUAAGCUUUUUGAGGUUUUUUAUUUUGCUUUCAUUUUAAUUCAUAUUGUGAAAUCGAUUUUAAUAUAUAUUACUAUUAGCUCAGUUUCCAUUAUAGUAUUCUAAUACCUUGGACCACUUCAAAAUUCUAGCUAGGAGACAAUUGUCGUAAUAGCCAAUUACACAAAUACUUAAAGAAAACGAGAAUUUGGACGUUAUUGACUCCUAGUCAACUUGUUUUUAGUGUAUGUGCAUAAAUCCAUCAAUGCAUAUUGUGAUACAAAUUUAAUUAAUUAUUUAAUCUUGCACUCUCAUCUUAUGACACGGAAAUUUUCAUCACAAACCCAUGAUAAAAAAAUUUCGUAGUUCAAUAACGAUAUAAUUGAAUCGCCAUAAAAGUAGAAAUUUGAACCUUUAUUUUCUAUUCGAUUAGUCAUGAUAUUCCAGCCGGCAUAAUAAAGAAUACAGAAGAAUUAAUUAUCCCAAUGGUCAAUGAAUUUAAGUCUCUGUCUUUGAUUACUCGUUGAAGUUUAAAAUGUCUUGUUUUGACCACUAAACUUAUCAAAAUAUUGGACAUUGUUCACUGCCUUAAAAUCCUUUCCAAUUCUUCAACGAAACUAGUGAUUUACUCAUCUAAUUCAUUCCGAUUCUUUGAACGAACCUUAACCCAUACUUUUUCAAUGAGCAGGAUUUAUUUAUCUAAUUAAUAUUACUCAAUUCUCAUAAACUGUUUUGAGGUUUUUUUCUUUUGCUUUCAUUUUAAUUCAUGUUGUGAAAUCCAUUUUAAUAUGGAUUAUUAUUGGUUCACUUUCCAUUAUAGUAUUAUAAGACCUUGGACCUCUUCAAAAUUCUAGCUAGGAGACAAUUGUCUUAAUAGCUUAUUACAUAAAUACUUAAAGAAAACGAGAAUUUCUACGUUAUUGACUCCUAGUCAACUUGUUUUAGUGUAUGGACAUAAAAAUCCAACAAUGCAUAUUUUGAUGCAAGUUUAAUUAAUUUUUAAAUCUUGCACUCUUAUCUUAUGACACGAAAAUUUUCAUUAAAGCCCCAUAACACAAAAUUUCUGUAGUUCAAUAAUGAUAUAAUUGUAUCAACAUAAAAGAAGAAAUUUGAAUCUUUAUUUUCCAUUUGAGUAGUCAUGAUAUUCUAGCCGGCAUAAUAAGGAAUACAGAAGAGUUAAUUGUCCCAAUGGUUAUCUGUUUUCGAUUACUCAUUGAAAUUUAAAAUGUCCAAUUUUGACCACUAAAUUUUUCAAAAUAUUGGACAUUACAUACUACUUUAAAAUCUGUUCGAAUUCUUUAACGGAAUUAGUGAUUUAUUCAUCUAAAUCCUUUCAAUUCUCAGAACGAACCUCUGCCCAUACGUCUUCAAUGAGCAAGAUUUAUUCAUCUAGCUAAUAUUACUCAAUUCUCAUAAGCUAUUUUGAGGUUUUUUAUUUUGCUUUCAUUUCAAUUCAUAUUGUGAAAUCGAUUUUAACAUAUAUUACUAUCAGUUCAGUUUCCAUUAUAGUAUUCUAAGACCUUGGACCUCUUCAAAAUUAUAGCUAGGAGACAAUUGUGUUAAUAGCCUAUUACAUAAGUACUUAAAGAAAACGAGAAUUUUUACAUUAUUGACUCCUAGUCAACUUGUUUUAAUAUAUGGACAUAAAUCCAACGAUGCAUAUUAUGAUGCAAAUUUAAUUAAUUUUUAAAUCUUGCACUCUUAUGACAUGAAAAUUUUCAUUAAAGCCCCAUGACACAAAAUUUCAGUUGUUCAAUAACGAUAUAAUUGUGUCAACAUAAAAGAAGAAAUUUGAAUCUUUAUUUUCUAUUUGAUUAGUCAUGAUAUUCUAGCUGGCAUAAUAAGAAAUACAGAAGAGUUAAUUAUCCCAAUGGUCACUGAACUUAUUUAUCUGUCUUCGAUUACAUUGAAUAUAAAAUGUCCAAUUUUGACCACUAAAUUUUUCUAAACAUUGGACAUUACAUACUACUUUAAAAUUCGAUUGAAUUCUUUAACGGAAUUAGUGGUUUAUUCAUCUAAUUCAUUUCAAUUCUCGGAACGAACCUCUACCCAUACCUGUUCAAUGAGCAAGAUUUAUUCAUCUAAUUAAUAUUACUCAAUUCUCAUAAGCUACUUUGAGGUUUUUUAUUUUUCUUUCAUUUUAAUUCAUAUUGAGAAAUCGAUUUUAAUAUAUAUUACUAUUAGUUCACUUUCCAUUAUAGUAUUAUAAUACCUUGGACCACUUCAAAAUUCUAGCUAGGAGACAAUUGUCGUAAUAGUCUAUUACAUAAAUACUUAAAGAAAACGAGAAUUUCGACUAUUGACUCCUAGUCAACUUGUCUUUAGUGUAUGGGCAUAAAUCCAUCAAUGCAUAUUGUGAUGCAAAUUUAAUUAAUUAUUUAAUCUUGCACUCUCAUCUUAUGACACGAAAAUUUUCAUCACAACCCCAUGAUAAAAAAAAUUUCAUAGUUCAAUAACGAUAUAAUUGAAUCACCAUAAAAGUAGAAAUUUGAACAUUUAUUUUCUCUUCAAUUAGUCAUGAUAUUCCAGCCAGCAUAAUAAAAAGUACAGAAGAAUUAAUUAUCCCAAUGGUCAACGAACUUAAGUCUCUGUUUUUGAUUACUCGUUGAAGUUUAAAAUGUCAUGUUUUGGCCACUAAACUUAUCAAAAUAUUGGACAUUGCUCACUACCUUAACAUCCUUAACAAUUCUUCAACGGAAUUAGUUAUUUAUUCAUCUAAUUCGUUCCAAUUCUUUGAACGAACCUUAACCAAUACUUGUUCAAUGAGCAAGAUUUAUUCAUCUAAUUAAUAUUAUUCAAAUCUCAUAAGCUGUUUUGAGUUUUUUUCUUUUGCUUUCAUUUUAAUUCAUGUUGUGAAAUCCAUUUUAAUAUGGAUUACUAUUGGUUCACUUUCCAUUAUAGUAUUCUAAGACCUUGGACCUCUUCAAAAUUCUAGCUAGGAGACAAUUGUCUUAAUAGCUUAUUACAUAAAUACCUAAAGAAAACGGGACUUUCUACGUAAUUGACUCCUAGUCAACUUGUUUUAGUGUAUGGACAAAAAUCCAACAAUGCAUAUUGUGAUGCAAAUUUAAUUAAUUUUUAAAUCUUGCACUCUUAUCUUAUGACACGAAAAUUUUCAUUAAAGCCCCAUGACACAAAAUUUCUGUAAUUCAAUAACGAUAUAAUUGUAUCAACAUAAAAGAAGAAAUUUGAAUCUUUAUUUUCUAUUUGAUUAGUCAUUAUAUUCCAGUCGGCAUAAUAAGGAAUACAGAAGAGUUAAUUGUCUCAAUGGUCACUAAACUCAUUUAUCUGCCUUCGAUUAUUCAUUGAAGUUUAAAAUAUUCAAUUUUGACAACUAAAUUUUUCAAAACAUUGGACAUUACAUACUACUUUAAAAUUUAUUCGAAUUUUUUAACGGAAUUAGUGAUUUAUUCAUCUAAUUCGCUUCAAUUCUCCGAACGAACCUCUGCCCAUACUUGUUCAAUGAGCAAGAUUUAUUCAUCUAAUUAAUAUUACUCAAUCUCAAUUCUCAUAAGCCGUUUUGAGGUUUUUUCUUUUGCUUUCAUUUUAAUUUAUAUCGUGAAAUCUAUUUUAAUAUAUAUUACUAUUAGUUCAGUUUCCAUUAGAGUAUUCUAAUACCUUGGACCACUUCAAAAUUCUAGCUAGGAGACAAUUGUCGUAAUAUUCUAUUACAUAAAUACUUAAAGAAAAUGAGAAUUUCGACGGUAUUGACUCCUAGUCAACUUGUUUUUAGUGAAUAGACUUAAAUCCAUCAAUGCAUAUUGUGAUGCAAGUUUAAUUAAUUUUUUAAUCUCGCACUCUGAUCUUAUGACACGAAAAUUUUGAUCAAAGCUCCAUGAUACAAAAUUUCCAUAGUUCAAUAACGAUAUAAUUGAAUCACCAUAAAAGUAGAAGUUUGAACCUUUAUUUUUAUUCGAUUAGUCAUGAUAUUCCAGCCGGCAUAAUAAAGAACAUAGAAGAAUUAAUUAUUCCAAUGGUCAACAACUUAAGUCUCUGUCUUUUAUUACUCGUUGAAGUUUAAAAUGUCUUGUUUUAGCCACUAAACUUAUAAAAAUAUUGGACAUUGCUCACUACCUUAACAUCCUUUCCAAUUCUUCAAUGGAAUUAGUGAUUUAUUCAUCUAAUUCGUUCCCAUUCUUUGAACGAACUUUAACCAAUACUUGUUCAAUGAGCAAGAUUUCUUUAUCUAAUUAAUAUUACUCAAUUCUCAUAAGCUGUUUUGAGGUUUUUUCUUUUGCUUACAUUUUAAUUCAUGUUGUGAAAUCGAUUUUAACAUGGAUUACUAUUGGUUCACUUUCCAUUAUCGUAUUCUAAGACCUUGGACCUCUUCAAAAUUCUAAGUAGGAGACAAUUGUCGUAAUAGUUUAUUACAUAAAUACUUAAACAAAAUGUGAAUUUCGACGUUAUUGACUCCUAGUCAACUUGUUUUCAAUGUAUGAACUUAAAAUCGUCGAUGCAUAUUGUGAUGCAAAUUUAAUUAAUUAUUUAAUCUUGCACUCUCAUCUUUCUCACGAAAAUUUUCGUCACAACCCCACGAUAAAAAAUUUCCGAAGUUCAAUAACGAUAUAAUUGAAUCACCAUAAAAGUAGCUAUUUAAACCUUUAUUUUCUAUUCGAUUAGUCAUGAUAUUCCAGCCUGCAUAAUAAGGAAUACAGAAGAGUUAAUUGUCCGAAUGGUUACUGAACUUAAGUCUCUGUCUUCGAUUACUCAUUGAAGUUUAAAAUAUCCAAUUUUGGCCACUAAACUUAUCAAAAUAUUGGACAUUACUCACUACCUUAACAUCCUUUCCAAUUCUCUAACGGAAGUAGUGAUUUAUUCAUCUAAUUUGUUCCAAUUCUGGGAAAGAUCCUCUACCCAUACUUGUUCAAUGAUCAAGAUUUAUUCAUCUAAUUAAUAAUACUCAAUUCUCAUAAGCUGUUUUGAGAUUUUUUUUUUCUUUUGCUUUCAUUUUAAUUCAUAUUGUGAAAUCGAUUUUAAUAUAUUUACUAUUAGUUCAUUUUCCAUUAUUGUAUUCUAAUACCUUGGACCACUUCAAAAUUCUAGCUAGGAGACAAUUAUCGAAAUAGUUUAUUACAUAAAUACUUAAAGAAAAUGAGAAUCCCGAUGUUAUUGACUCCUAGUCAACUUAUUUUUAGUGUAUGGACAUAAAUCCAUCAGUGCAUAUUGUGAUGCAAAUUUAAUUAAUUUUUUAAUCUUUCUCUCUUAUUUUAUGACACCAAAAUUUUCAUCAAAGCCCCAUGAUACAAAAUUUUUGUAGUUCAAUAAAUAUAAUUGAAUAACCAUAAUAGUAUAUUUGAACCUUUAUUUUCUAUUCCAUUAGUCAUGACAUUCCCGUCGGCAUAAUAAGGAAUACACAAGAGUUCAUUGUCCCAAUUGUCGCUGAACUUAUGUCUCUAUCUUCAAUUACUCAUUGAAGUUUAAAAUGUCUAAUUUUGACCUAUAAACUUAUCAAAAGAUUGGACGUUAUUCACUACCUUGACAUCCUUUCCAAUUCUUUAACGAAAUUAGUAAUGUGGCUAACAGAAUAUACACGUGACGCGCCGUUACUUUAUUAACAAAUUGUUACGUCUUCGAUUGCUCACCAAACUUUGAAAAGUGUCUUUAAUUGCUCACUAAAUUCUAAAAAAUGUUUUCAAUUGCUCACUGAACUUUGCGGUGGUCAAAUUUUGGCCACUAAACUUAUAAAAAUGACAUGACCUAUUGCUCGUAAAAAAAUAUGUUACGCAAUCGUACGAGUGGCAUAAAAGUAAUAAAGUGGACAAACAAAUUCGAAUUGUUGAUUCCACGAGAAAUUAUUACUCAAUUACAUAGUAGUUAAAUUUAAUUUUAAUAUAUUUUAUAGGAUUUUAAUCUAUUUUCAUCAUUUGAAAAAUUCAAAUUUAUUGUGUGUUUCAUUGUUAAAAUUAAAUUAAUAUUUGAAUUUUGCAAUGAAACAUAAUAAAUUUAAGGGUAAUUUUCAAAAAUGCAAAUUACAUGCUUCUCAAUUGAAAAAUGUCUAAUUUUGAUAACUAUUGCAAAAAAAUGGCCAAAUUUGGCUUCAAAAUGUCUUGUGUACCCUUAAUGAAAAAUGUAGCAAUUAUUUUUCUUUUCAAUUUGUCACAAAUUUCUACAAAAAGAAGUAGCUUCUAUGAGAAGCUACAUUUAUGCAAGGUAAUACCUAAUGGGUUAAUUUCAUUUCUUUAUCUAUUAGGUAAUGACCAAUGAUUUUGGGUAGAAAUUAAGAUGGUGAAAUAAAAAAAAAUUAACUUAAAAAAAUUUACAUACUUCUAAUUCAUAAGAAAAUCAUAUAAUUUCAUUUUGAGAAUUAUAAUCUCAUAAACAAUUCUUGAUAGAAAGUAAAUUUUAUUCGAAAUCUUAUUUUUGUUGAUAAAUUUUGUUUAAUAGUUGUUGUGGUAUAUAUGAUGUAAAUGGAUGAUUAGUUUUUUUGAACAAUUAGUAGAUAUUUGUUGUAAGAUUAUUUGAGCAUUUUAAAAUCAAAUUCAUAUUUAUUGUUUUGUGUUUCUCAAACAUGGUCUCACAACCUACUUAAAUAACUUUGAUGAAUGGAUUUGCAAUGGUUAUCAUGUAUUGACAAUGCCAUUAUGGUAGAAUAAAUUAUUUACAAAAAUGAUUGUUGAAGUUGAAGAAGAUGAUAAAUGCAUAUGGUGAAGUGUCAGGCCGGCAUAUCGUUCUCGAUAUUUUAUAAGCGUCAAGAAUGAUACUUCAGGUGUAAUUCUUUAUAUUGUUUCAAAUGUCGAGAAUUAUGUUACAAUCUUUUCGAAACAUUUUUUGUUUACCAUUGACCAUAUUGAUUACAGGUAGCAUGUUUUUUUAAAGUAUUCGUGUUAGCUAAUGUUAUUUUCGUUGAUGACAUGAAGAUAUGGGAGAUGUUUUGAUAUUUAUUGUCUCACAUGUUGGUAUAUUCGUCAACAUGGAGGACAAGUAGAGUGGUUUGGGAACCAAACAACAUCAAUUAUUAUUCGAAGUGAUAUUAGAUAUGAAGAGCUUGCCAAUAAAUUAUUCAAAAAGCCUAAUCUUGAUAGAAAGAAAGGUUGAUGAGCACGCAAAAAUGUGGAUGGUGCAAUGAUUACGGACUCAACAUGCAAAAUGUAGGAACCCAGGACCAUUUACUAAACCCGGCACUUGAAUGUUUUUUUUGUAUUCAUGUUAACAUCCAAUUUGUCAUUCAUGAAUAUUAUACUCUUGCAUUUUACGUUAUUUUCUCAGUUCAUUUCAACACUUAGUAAUUAUUCGAACAACGAUACAAAACAUAAAUUCAGUACUAUGAUUUCAACAUCAUUGUACAAUCACAUACUAAAUUUCAAACUAAGACAAUUUGAAAUCAAAUCGAGGAGUUCGUAAAAUGUCAAACUACAUUAACUUCACCUCUUCGUCAAAAUAAAUCACAACAAUGACAAUGAGUUUCUUAUUUGAAGUGGUCAAAAUAUGACGAUGUAUAAAGACAUCUACAUGUCCUCAACAACGGAUAGAGAAUAUAUCUCGCUACCAUCGUCGUCGUCGUCGGAGUUUAUGAUGAUGACAGCUCCUAUGACAUCCGGACCCAGUCCGACAUUAUCGACCAACUCAUCAACGUACUGAAUGCUGAACUAAAGAUGGUGUUCGUCUGGUCGAAUUUCAACUGCAAUGAUCUCACAAUCUCCACUUGCUUUCACUUAACUCCUCAGUUAAUCUCAUCAUUAUUUUAACAUUUGAUUAAUUGAUUUUCAUUUGUUAUUGAUAUUUCACGAUGUUCUUGAUAUUUUAAAAGUUGUUAAUCAACAUUUGGUCCCUAUUUAUCUCCACACUUGACAGUUCAUCUGUUUAGAACAAGGUUUCACUCCGAACAUGAAUGUUCUCUACAUUUCAUGACAUUCUUGACAUUUGAAAUGUAGUUCUAGACAUUUCUUACCUAUGAAUCUCGACUCUUGACAUUUCAUUUGUUAAGAACAACAGCUCAUCAAUGAUGAAAUAUAAAAUACAAAAACUACUAAAAUAACAUGACACCAUAUGCCAACUCUUAUCAAUAAUAACAUAACUUAAUUGCAUAAUAUGCCAAUAAUAAAACAACCAAACAUUCAUAUAGAUUUCAAGUUUAUAUCCAAUCAAAGAACUGUAUCAUCAAUCAAAAACAUUAAGAAUGGUACACAAAAUGACAUUGUAAAUAUUUUUCUAAACAUUCAAAUGAGAAUCUACUCCAGCAACAUUUUCGAGCAUGGGUAUAGUGUCUUUGUGUUUGCACGGAGCAUUUUAAGCCUCGAGGAGCAAGAUCUGCAUGGAGGUAGAGCAUCAGCUUCGAAGGAUCUAUAAUGGGCAUCAUCAUCCAGUGGAUUAUCAAUGGAUACAUGAACUAGUGUUGCAAUGUAUGGUGCCUCUCUCCCACUUUCACCAGCAUUUUAAGCCAAACUAAGAAUAUAGCAUAAUCUAAACUCUGCAUCUUGCAAAUUAUCUUACAUAUAAUAUUAGCAUGCACAAACUGAAGAAACAAGAGUUCAGUAGCAUUUUUGGCCUCCAUCCACUGACAAUGCUAAAUAGAUACAUAACCCCAGUAUUUACAAACUCCUAUAGAAAUAAAUCAUCAAUGAGACAACAAAGAUUAACCAACUCAACGAUACAUCAGAAAUAAAUAAUUCGAUUAAAUUGUAAUUUGUUAUCAGGGCGGUAAAAAACCCCAAAAGGAAUUCCCCUCCUCAACACCACAUAUUGACAGAAUUAAGAGAAUUAUAGUUUAUGUGAAGUACAAAAUUGUUUCAGUUAAGACAAUGCAAUAUGUUUUACAUUUUUGCCUUCCAGUGAGAGUAGCUUGUGUAGCUUGUAAUUCCAAAUAUUAAAUAAAUAGAGUUUACACGCCAAAAUGAGGAAGCAAUAAACCCGAUGUUAGAACAAAUGUGACGGCCAAGGUACAAAAAACUGACUCAUCAACAGUCAAAGCAGAAAGGCUAAAAGUUUAGAAUAAAGCUGCAGAUCCCAGGCUCCGAUCCAGGGGCCGAGGUGGCCAAAUCUCGGCCCCUGGAUGUGUGUGUGGAGGGCUCCAUAUGAAAAUGAUCAAGGGUCGAGGUGAUUGCCAUCUCGGCCUGGAGCAGAACCUGAAAUUUUAUCCUGGGUUCUGUAGCAUGAGCCAAAAGUUUAACUAGUUCACUUCAUCACAAAAUGUCAACAUAAACUACGACAGGCGAGCUUUUCAAACCAAAGAGACUUGGGAGAUAGCGAAGUCCAAUUUUUUUAGGUAUUGCAACAAAAUAUGUUGCUCAAUAUGGCAGCUCUUGGAACAAUCUGAUUCUUCUAUUCACCUAGCUAAAGAAACUAACUUAAAGCCAAACUGUAUAGAUAACCACUAGUAUGGAAUAUUCUAAUGUACACAAUAGAAAAUCAACUUAUAAAAAUAAUAAUUAUUAUUAUUCUAUUUUGAAUUAUCUCGUUCCUAAAUAAUUUCAAAAUCUCUACUUGCCCAUCCAAUUUCCCAUCCAAGUUCCCAAUUCUAUGUCAAGGAAUCUUACCUGACAAUUUAUUGUAUGACAAAUUCAGGUGAUUCAGAAAAGUUAGGGAAACCAAGGUUGUUGGAAUAGGCCCUGACAGUUGAUUUUUUGAUAGAUCCAAUGUUUCUAACCACGUUAACUUCCCAAAAGCUGGCGGAAUCUGUCCACUCAAAUGAUUCAUCGACAAGUUUAAUGUUUCCAGUCUGAAGAGGUUCGCGAAUUCUGAUGGGAUUUCUCCAGAUAAAUUGUUGCCUGAGAGUUCCAUACUAUUGACAAGGUUCUGCUGCACGGACAAGUACCGAAAUGUUCCUCCUUUUGUAAUAAGCCGCAAUCCCUCUC